UGGUGUGCUGCAAUUCAUGGGGUCGCAAAGAGUCGGACACAACUGAGUGAUGAACUGAACUGAAACCCUCCUUAGGCUCAUAAUCAGAUUUGAUCCUAAGCAAAAUGUGAAAGACAUUUAGUUUAAACAUAGGAUAGUUUUAGUCCUUUCUAGGAUCUCAAGGGGUUUACUGGAUAACCCAAUUACGUUUUGGGCUUGCCUGGUGGCUCAGUGGUAAGAAUGCACUUAACAGUGCAAGAGAAGCAGUUUCAUCCCUGGGUUGGGAAGAUCCCCUGGAGAAGGAAGACAACCGACUCUAGUGUUCUUGCCUGGAGAAUCCCAGAGAUAGAGGAGCCUGGCAGGCUGCAGUCUGUGGAGUGUCAAAAGAGUUGGGCACCGCUGAGCACACGGGCACAUGCACUUCCAUAGUAGGACAGGGGUCAUCCUUGAGGGAAGAAAGAAAGCAUCUGAAUCACAACUUUAUCAGGAAAUGAGUUCCUUCUGCAGUCCGAUAUUGACUUCAUCAUAUUGGAUUGGUUCCAUGCUAUCAAAAAUGCAAUUGACAGAUUGCCAAAGGAUCCAAGUAGUCAUUCAAGAAACCUGGAAUUAUUUAAAAUCCAGAGAUCUUCCAGUACUGAACUACUAAGUCACUAUGAUAGUGAUAUAAAAGAACAGAAACCAGAGCACAGAAAAUCUUUAACAAACUUCUGAAUCUAAGUAAUAACCAUGGCGUUCAGAUUGGUGAUUGAUUUCGAGAGUGGGAAAUGUCAAGCGUCUCCAAACCUUGGUAUGCUGACUAUUUGAUUUUCAUACAUUAAAAUAUAUAUGAGUGACCUGACGUAAACCAACAGGCUAUGCAACUUUCCAUUUGUUUCAUCCACCAGAAAGAUUUAGAAAUGUGUAACGUGGACUAGAUAUCCUCCAAGGUCACAUCUAGGUCUGAUUUUCUAAAAAAAAAAAAA
rnacentral:lncRNA from 1 species